UGCAUCUGAAGCCUGACGAGGAUGAGAACCUCCGGGGGCAAGAGGUUCGACUCGAGCGCAGCGAGAGAACGUUGCGUCAGCAACGGCCCGCAGGGCGAG
rnacentral:sRNA from 2 species